GGCACUUUGGCGGAGUGGUUAACGAUGCCCUGCUAUUAUUUCAGAAAAGCGAGGCAUUCCCCUUGAGAGCGUGAGUUUGAAUCUCACAGGUGUCG